rnacentral:lncRNA from 1 species
GCUUUGAUGCGCCCCAUUUGGCCCUGAGAGAUGCCACGUGAUCGUCAUUUUAAAUCCUAGCGCCAUCUCUGCAGUCUCCCCACGCCGGGUUCAGUCAGGCGAAGUUGCGUUAUCUGUGAUGUGUUGUAACAAAAAGCGUUUAUCUUUGAAACACUAAGACAAUUAAAGAAUUCUGUCAUCCC